rnacentral:rRNA from 1 species
AGAGUUUGAUCCUGGCUCAGAGUGAACGCUGGCGGCGUGCCUAACACAUGCAAGUCGAACGAUGAUGGAGAGCUUGCUCUCCUGAUUAGUGGCGCACGGGUGAGUAACGCAUAGGUAAUGUGCCCCUUAGUCUGGGAUAGCCACUGGAAACGGUGAUUAAUACUAGAUACUCCUUCUUACUGUAAGGUAAGUCGGGAAAGUUUUUCGCUAAGGGAUCAGCCUAUGUCCUAUCAGGUAGUUGGUGAGGUAACGGCUCACCAAGCUAAUGACGGGUAUCUGGUUUGAGAGGAUGAUCAGACACACUGGAACUGAGACACGGUCCAGACUCCUACGGGAGGCAGCAGUGAGGAAUAUUGCACAAUGGAGGAAACUCUGAUGCAGCAACGCCGCGUGGAGGAUGACGCAUUUCGGUGUGUAAACUCCUUUUAAGAGGGAAGAUUAUGACGGUACCUCU